UACGAAGGGGGCUAGCGUUGCUCGGAAUCACUGGGCGUAAAGGGUGCGUAGGCGGGUCUUUAAGUCGGGGGUGAAAUCCUGGAGCUCAACUCCAGAACUGCCUUCGAUACUGGCGAUCUUGAGUCCGGAAGAGGUGAGUGGAACUCCUAGUGUAGAGGUGGAAUUCGUAGAUAUUAGGAAGAACACCAGUGGCGAAGGCGGCUCACUGGUCCGGUACUGACGCUGAGGCACGAAAGCGUGGGGAUCAAACAGG
rnacentral:rRNA from 1 species